GUCAGGAUGGCCGAGUGGUCUAAGGCGCCAGACUCAAGUUAGAGGGCGUGGGUUCAAAUCCCACUUCUGACA